rnacentral:rRNA from 1 species
AGCGAACGCUGGCGGCAUGCCUAACACAUGCAAGUCGAACGAGACCUUCGGGUUUAGUGGCGCACGGGUGCGUAACGCGUGGGAACCUGCCCUUAGGUUCGGAAUAACUCCCCGAAAGGGGUGCUAAUACCGGAUAAUGUCUUCGGACCAAAGAUUUAUCGCCUUUGGAUGGGCCCGCGUUGGAUUAGCUAGUUGGUAGGGUAAAAGCCUACCAAGGCGACGAUCCAUAGCUGGUCUGAGAGGAUGAUCAGCCACACUGGGACUGAGACACGGCCCAGACUCCUACGGGAGGCAGCAGUGGGGAAUAUUGGACAAUGGGCGAAAGCCUGAUCCAGCAAUGCCGCGUGAGUGAUGAAGGCCUUAGGGUUGUAAAGCUCUUUUACCCGGGAUGAUAAUGACAGUACCGGGAGAAUAAGCUCCGGCUAACUCCGUG